rnacentral:rRNA from 1 species
CUGACAUAGGGAGGUAGUGACAAUAAAUAACAAUGCCGGGCCAAAUUGGUCUGGCACUUGGAAUGAGAACAAUCUAAAUCCCUUAUCGAAAUUCCAUUGGAGGGCAAGUCUGGUGCCAGCAGCCGCGGUAAUUCCAGCUCCAAUAGCGUAUAUUAAAGUUGUUGCAGUUAAAAAGCUCGUAGUUGGAUUUCUGAUUGAGACAUCAGGUCGGGUCCGAGAGGAUCAUGUACUUUGAUUUGUUUUGAUCAUCCUUGGGGAGAGCAAUUCUGGCAUUAAGUUGUCGGGGUUGGGAUCCUCAUCGUUUACUGUGAAAAAUUAGAGUGUUCAAAGCAGGCCUCGGCCUCUGAAUACAUUAGCAUGGAAUAAUAAGAUAGGACUUUUGGUGGUCUAUUUUGUUGGUUUGCACGCCAAAGUAAUGAUUAAUAGGGAUAGUUGGGGGUAUUCGUAUUCAAUUGUCAGAGGUGAAAUUCUUGGAUUUAUGGAAGACGAACUACUGCG